UGUGCCAGCAGCCGCGGUAAUACGUAUGUCACAAGCGUUAUCCGGAUUUAUUGGGCGUAAAGCGCGUCUAGGUGGUUAUGUAAGUCUGAUGUGAAAAUGCAGGGCUCAACUCUGUAUUGCGUUGGAAACUGUGUAACUAGAGUACUGGAGAGGUAAGCGGAACUACAAGUGUAGAGGUGAAAUUCGUAGAUAUUUGUAGGAAUGCCGAUGGGGAAGCCAGCUUACUGGACAGAUGCUGACGCUGAAGCGCGAAAGCGUGGGUAGCAAACAGGAUUAGAUACC
rnacentral:rRNA from 1 species